AAGCCACGGCUAACUACGUGCCAGCAGCCGCGGUAAUACGUAGGUGGCAAGCGUUGUCCGGAAUUAUUGGGCGUAAAGCGCGUGCAGGCGGUCUCUUAAGUCUGAUGUGAAAGCCCCCGGCUCAACCGGGGAGGGUCAUUGGAAACUGGGAGACUUGAGUACAGAAGAGGAGAGUGGAAUUCCACGUGUAGCGGUGAAAUGCGUAGAGAUGUGGAGGAACACCAGUGGCGAAGGCGACUCUCUGGUCUGUAACUGACGCUGAGGCGCGAAAGCGUGGGGAGCAAACAGGAUUAGAUACCCUGGUAGUCCACGCCGUAAACGAUGAGUGCUAGGUGUUAGGGGUUUCGACGCCCUUAGUGCCGAAGUUAACACAUUAAGCACUCCGCCUGGGGAGUACGACCGCAAGGUUGAAACUCAAAGGAAUUGACGGGGGCCCGCACAAGCAGUGGAGCAUGUGGUUUAAUUCGAAGCAACGCGAAGAACCUUACCAGGUCUUGACAUCCUUUGACCACCCUAGAGAUAGGGCUUUCCCCUUCGGGGGACAAAGUGACAGGUGGUGCAUGGUUGUCGUCAGCUCGUGUCGUGAGAUGUUGGGUUAAGUCCCGCAACGAGCGCAACCCUUGACCUUAGUUGCCAGCAUUCAGUUGGGCACUCUAAGGUGACUGCCGGUGACAAACCGGAGGAAGGUGGGGAUGACGUCAAAUCAUCAUGCCCCUUAUGACCUGGGCUACACACGUGCUACAAUGGAUGGUACAAAGGGUUGCGAAGCCGCGAGGUGAAGCCAAUCCCAGAAAGCCAUUCUCAGUUCGGAUUGCAGGCUGCAACUCGCCUGCAUGAAGCCGGAAUUGCUAGUAAUCGCGGAUCAGCAUGCCGCGGUGAAUACGUUCCCGGGCCUUGU
rnacentral:rRNA from 2 species